rnacentral:rRNA from 1 species
AGUGAACGCUGGCGGUAGGCCUAACACAUGCAAGUCGAACGGCAGCACAGUAAGAGCUUGCUCUUACGGGUGGCGAGUGGCGGACGGGUGAGGAAUACAUCGGAAUCUACUUUUUCGUGGGGGAUAACGUAGGGAAACUUACGCUAAUACCGCAUACGACCUACGGGUGAAAGCAGGGGAUCUUCGGACCUUGCGCGAUUGAAUGAGCCGAUGUCGGAUUAGCUAGUUGGCGGGGUAAAGGCCCACCAAGGCGACGAUCCGUAGCUGGUCUGAGAGGAUGAUCAGCCACACUGGAACUGAGACACGGUCCAGACUCCUACGGGAGGCAGCAGUGGGGAAUAGUGGACAAAGGGGGCGAGCCUGAUCCAGCCAUACCGCGUGGGUGAAGAAGGCCUUCGGGUUGUAAAGCCCUUUUGUUGGGAAAGAAAAGCAGCAGGUUAAUACCCCGCUGUUCUGACGGUACCCAAAGAAUAAGCACCGGCUAACUUCGUG